ensembl:snRNA U6 U6 spliceosomal RNA
UUGCUCGCUUCAGCAGUACAUAUACUAAAAUUGGUACAAUAAAGAGAAAAUUAGCAUGGCCCCUGUGCAAGGAUGACACACAAAUUUGUGAAGCAUUAUUUAUUUUU